ACGCUCGACACCUACGGGAGGCAGCAGUGGGGAAUAUUGCACAAUGGGGGAAACCCUGAUGCAGCGACGCCGCGUGAAGGAAGAAGUAUCUCGGUAUGUAAACUUCUAUCAGCAGGGAAGAAAAUGACGGUACCUGACUAAGAAGCCCCGGCUAACUACGUACCAGCAGCCGCGGUAAUCUGAGCGGGCUGGCAAGGC
rnacentral:rRNA from 1 species